CCCUUAUUAUUCAUGCUGUUUGAAAGUUACAAGUAGGUAUUAUUAAGCUGAAGAGUUUGUUUAGUGUCAAAGACUGUCACACAGUGUAACUUAAAUUGGCAUAUUAUGAUAAUGAACAUAAAAACUUAAAUAAAUAUUUAUGUUAAUA